AGUGAACGCUGGCGGUAGGCCUAACACAUGCAAGUCGAACGGCAGCACAGUAAGAGCUUGCUCUUACGGGUGGCGAGUGGCGGACGGGUGAGGAAUACAUCGGAAUCUACUUUUUCGUGGGGGAUAACGUAGGGAAACUUACGCUAAUACCGCAUACGACCUACGGGUGAAAGCAGGGGAUCUUCGGACCUUGCGCGAUUGAAUGAGCCGAUGUCGGAUUAGCUAGUUGGCGGGGUAAAGGCCCACCAAGGCGACGAUCCGUAGCUGGUCUGAGAGGAUGAUCAGCCACACUGGAACUGAGACACGGUCCAGACUCCUACGGGAGGCAGCAGUGGGGAAUCUUGGACAAUGGGCGCAAGCCUGAUCCAGCCAUACCGCGUGGGUGAAGACGGCCUUCGGGUUGUAAAGCCCUUUUGUUGGGAAAGAAAAGCAGCAGGUUAAUACCCCGCUGUUCUGACGGUACCCAAAGAAUAAGCACCGGCUAACUUCGUG
rnacentral:rRNA from 1 species